UUGUUUUGCUUCCUUUCCCUCGUCGCGCAUUUUACAUCUUCUUCAGUCGAUUUCGAUUUCUUUCACCAUUCUCGCUUUCCUGGUUUGCUCGAAGGCGGCCAUUAUAGAGAACUUGAAAGCUUGAAGAUUAAACGGAAUGACGGAGGACAAGCGGAACAUUCUUGACCAUUGUCGUCGACAGCUAGCUGCGAAGUUUGAGUUGAAGCGGAAGCUUUUCAAAGCCGUUUGCAAUGAUCCGAGUCUUCCCAACGAUGUGCGUGAAGAGCAUCGUUAUAAGCUGUCGAAAUUGCCAAGGAAUAGUUCGUUUACUCGACUGAGGAAUCGCUGCAUCUUCACCGGUCGACCUAGGGGUGUCUAUCAGCUUUUCCGUGUUUCUCGUAUCGUCUUCCGUGAUCUGGCAUCCAAAGGUCUUAUUAUGGGUGUCAAGAAAUCUUCUUGGUAGAUACCGGUUGAUGGUAGAGACUUCUAUCGUGGGGAUCAAUUAUCAUUGUUGGGUUGUUAUAUUUCUAAAAGAUUCUCAAUUAUAGACACUGGAAAGGGUGAUGUUAGUUGUAAGUUCCUUGGACAUGUGUAUUCAUGCCCGUUUACAUGUAUGACCAAAGAAGAGUUAAGGUUUUUUUCCUUAUUCAAUAAGGGUUUUCUGGUAGAUUGUUACUAAUCUGUUGUAUUGUUCUGAUUUAAAUGGUUAUUUUACCUGCCAUCGAGUUGUUUUGCACUAUCUUUGGUGACCAUUUCCUCUUUUACUGCAUUUUCAUCUGAGUUUCAGCAAAGAUGGCCUAGCAAAGAGUCGAUCUAAAUAGUAUAAGGGCUUAGAGUGAAUAGUUUCGAGCCCACCUUCCUAGGAUUUAAUAUCUUACAACUUACAAGUUAUCUGGACAACCAAAUGUAGCAGGGUGAGAUAGUUGUCUCGUGAGAAUAAUGGAGGUGCAUGUAAGCAGAUUUAACACAUGGAUAUUAAACAAUAAAUACUUCAUCUCCCUGCACUUUUGUCAAUUAUUAUCUUCAUUACAUAGAUGAUUGCUGAUGCAUAUGACAUGUGUAGGUUCAUCCCAUCUCAUUUAUAUGCUGUCUUUUUCAUACACAGAUUAUGUACUAUUGCCUAUCCAUUCCCAUAGAACUAUUGAGACAUUGAACCUAUGUCUACCAUUGUGAAUGCAGAGACUUAAGUUCAACUAAUUAAUAAUUAGCGCAAUUAGCGUCGGGCUUGAAUGUUUGUGUAGGGGGGGCUAAGCUUAUCAGUCGAGGCAGAUUCAGCUGGUUACAGGUACCUUAUGCAUAC